ACCCACAUGAUUAUCGGAACAAGAAAAUAGGAAAGGGAUUAGGGUUCAGUAAUACACAAUCUCACAUGAUGCUUAUUCUUCCUCCGUGAAAGCAUAGACGGCGGCGCGGUGACGGAGAUCCUUCUUUGAUCAAUUCAUCUCUUCCCCUCCGCCGUGAGUCAGAACAUUAAAAACGUUAUCUCGCCGCUCCGCAUUGCUCUCGACUCUCCGUUCUCCCUUUGUCUUAAACCGCUCCAUCAACUUCCUCUUCUCCGAUCGCAAUACCAUGGUGGCGCGGUGUAGCUCCUUCGUUCUCCUCCCAAAAUCCCGAGUCUUCGUCUCAAUCUCUUCUACUCUGAUCGCGACCUCAAUUUCAUCUUCUCCGAUUGAAAAAUCACGGUGGUGCAGCGAUGUAAACACGAGGAAGCGGCGGAGACUUCUGCUUUAGAGCUUCAGUGAUGUCGAUUCAACGUGGAGGUUAAAGUUAUUUGUUGAAGGAUGAAGGUGAUGACGUUAUGGCUCGAUGUUGUUGAAAACGAUGAAGAUGGUGAUGAACGUGAUGGUUGAAGAUGAUGAGAUUCAAGAAAGGAGAGUUAACAGUUUGGUUACGUCUUUGUUCAGUGAUUCUUGGAUGAAGGAUUCUGGUUUUCUCGAUCUGAAUUUAGAGUAUAUUUUGUCAGUUGAAGAAGAAGAUUGAGGAUUCUCGAAGGUUGAUUGAAGAUGAAGAGUAAGAGUGAAGGGAGUUUUUGGUUCUUGUGUUGAAGAUUAUUGAUGAUUCAUGAUUGAAGGUGAUGAAGAUUGGGGAAGAUUGAAGAUGCUGAAUUCUGAGAUUGCGAAGGUUAUGGUUCAUUGAUGAUUGAAAAGAUGAAUCUCCUUCAGAGAGAGAGUAAUGGCCGAAAAAGUUUGUUACGUUUCUGUUCAGGGAUCGGUUUUUGCGUUUCUGCUGCAAGAAUUGUUGUUCUGUUUAUUUACUCUGUCAGUCAUCUGCCAAAAUGCUAAACAUUAAUGUAUCAACACUUUCGACUAUUAUCAAAUUCUCUUCUGCCCACUAUCAAAUUCGCGCCGGUCUAACACAUCCAACCUGAGUUUUUCACUGUUGAUGUCAGUAACAACACGUCCAGAUGUAGUAGAGAACUCACGAGCAACUAAUUUUUCAUCUCUGUUUUUGUUGAAUUUUUGGAAGUAAUGUAACCUUGGAAUGUAUCAAUUGGAAUGUAAUUUUCAUGAUGAAACUUUGUGAUGAAUGACGAAUUGUUCUUGUUUUUGACUGAAUCUAAUGGAAACAUGUAAAAUGUUUGAAUAUUGAAGGGACUUUUGCAAAGAGACCUUGAAUGUUGUUGUGAUGAUAUUGUAUGAAUACAUGAACAUUUGAAUCUUUUGUAA